UACGGGGGGGGCAAGCGUUGUCCGGAAUCAUUGGGCGUAAAGCGCGUGUAGGCGGUGCGGUAAGUCGGGUGUGAAAUCCCCGGGCUCAACCUGGGAACUGCAUCCGAGACUGCAUUGCUAGAGUAUGGGAGAGGGAAGCGGAAUUUCUGGUGUAGCAGUGAAAUGCGUAGAUAUCAGAAGGAACAUCAGUGGCGAAGGCGGCUUCCUGGACCAAUACUGACGAUCAGGUGCGAAAGCGUGGAGAGCAAACAGG
rnacentral:rRNA from 1 species